AGAAGGGAACGUGCGGAGAAGUCAACAACCGCGUUCUCGCUGGAGAAUUCGGAACCGGCUGCACUCGCCCAAAGGACAUAACGUAUGGAUGCCUUGCCUUAAAGCUGCGCUUUGCUUGCAACAAGAGGAACACGGCAGGGAGAGACCCGCGCCGCGCCCCACUUGGAGCUUCCGCCCAAGCGCGAGGCCCAGCGAACGGCACACGCCGACAGAGCCAGGCGCUUGAAACGAACCCGAGAGCCUACGCCUUAUGAGCCUCCCGUCCUCUAGCAGCCAGCCAGAGGCAAUCGGGUUUUAGCCGCAAUUAGCGAGCGUAGCUUGCUGACAGCAAGCAGCGGAGCUCUGAAACGCUGGAAGCCCGCGUCGCAAGAGCACGCUGCAGCCGCAGACACUCCUUACGAU
rnacentral:misc_RNA from 1 species